rnacentral:rRNA from 1 species
UACAGAGGGGGCAAGCGUUGUUCGGAAUUACUGGGCGUAAAGGGCGCGUAGGCGGCCUGCUAAGUCGAACGUGAAAUCCCCGGGCUCAACCCGGGAACUGCGUCCGAUACUGGUUGGCUUGAAUCCGGGAGAGGGAUGCGGAAUUCCAGGUGUAGCGGUGAAAUGCGUAGAUAUCUGGAGGAACACCGGUGGCGAAGGCGGCAUCCUGGACCGGUAUUGACGCUGAGGCGCGAAAGCCAGGGGAGCAAACGGG